CCUACGGGAGGCAGCAGUGGGGAAUAUUGGGCAAUGGAGGAAACUCUGACCCAGCGACGCCGCGUGCGGGAUGAAGGCCUUCGGGUUGUAAACCGCUUUCAGUAGGGAAGAAGCGAAAGUGACGGUACCUACAAAAGAAGCACCGGCUAACUAUGUGCCAGCAGCCGCGGUAAUACAUAGGGUGCAAGCGUUGUCCGGAAUUAUUGGGCGUAAAGAGCUCGUAGGUCGUUUGUUACGUCGGAUGUGAAAACCUGAGGCUCAACCUCAGGCCUGCAUUCGAUACGGGCAAACUAGAGUUUGGUAGGGGAGACUGGAAUUCCUGGUGUAGCGGUGGAAUGCGCAGAUAUCAGGAGGAACACCAAUGGCGAAGGCAGGUCUCCGGGCCAAUACUGACACUGAGGAGCGAAAGUCUGGGGAGCGAACAGGAUUAGAUACCCUGGUAGUCCAGACCGUAAACGGUGGGCACUAGUUGUGGGAACCUUCCACGGUUUCUGCGACGCAGCUAACGCAUUAAGUGCCCCGCCUGGGGAGUACGAUCGCAAGNUUAAAACUCAAAUGAAUUGAACGGNUGAGAGUGCGAGACGACACGAGGAGAG
rnacentral:rRNA from 1 species